UACGAAGGGGGCUAGCGUUGCUCGGAAUCACUGGGCGUAAAGGGUGCGUAGGCGGGUCUUUAAGUCAGGGGUGAAAUCCUGGAGCUCAACUCCAGAACUGCCUUUGAUACUGAAGAUCUUGAGUUCGGGAGAGGUGAGUGGAACUGCGAGUGUAGAGGUGAAAUUCGUAAAUAUUCGCAAGAACACCAGUGGCGAAGGCGGCUCACUGGCCCGAAACUGACGCUGAGGCACGAAAGCGUGGGGAGCAAACAGG
rnacentral:rRNA from 1 species